rnacentral:rRNA from 1 species
GACGAACGCUGGCGGCGUGCCUAAUACAUGCAAGUUGAGCGCUGAAGGUUGGUACUUGUACCAACUGGAUGAGCAGCGAACGGGUGAGUAACGCGUGGGGAAUCUGCCUUUGAGCGGGGGACAACAUUUUGAAACGAAUGCUAAUACCGCAUAAAAACUUUAAACACAAGUUUUAAGUUUGAAAGAUGCAAUUGCAUCACUCAAAGAUGAUCCCGCGUUGUAUUAGCUAGUUGGUGAGGUAAAGGCUCACCAAGGCGAUGAUACGUAGCCGACCUGAGAGGGUGAUCGGCCACAUUGGGACUGAGACACGGCCCAAACUCCUACGGGAGGCAGCAGUAGGGAAUCUUCGGCAAUGGACGAAAGUCUGACCGAGCAACGCCGCGUGAGUGAAGAAGGUUUUCGGAUCGUAAAACUCUGUUGGUAGAGAAGAACGUUGGUGAGAGUGGAAAGCUCAUCAAGUGACGGUAACUACACAGAAAGGGACGGCUAACUACGUG